rnacentral:lncRNA from 1 species
GCUUUUCCCGCGUGCUCCCGGGGCUGAAGGACGUUCCCGGGGAAGCCGCUGCUGGCGCGUGGGGUCCCGGUGGCUGUGGGGGACGCGCCGGGAUCUCCGGGAUCCCGCAGCCCGCCGCCGCUGCCGGUGGGGAGCCGGACGCGGGGGGCCUCGGGGCUGAGGUCCGCAGGGGUGCCGCGCCCUGGAGUCCGACUGCCUAGGAGUCCGGGCGUCGCUGCCGGCCGUGGGGGAGGGGCGAGCCUCCCGCCAGGCCCCGCCCCCUCGGCGCCGCGUCCCCACGGCCCCGGCGCCGCCCGCCUGCGCCCGCCUCCUGUGCCCGCCCCCGGUGAGCUCCGUUGUCCCCUUUUCUGGCGGCUUAAAAUACCGAAACUUUAUUUUGGUCACGUUGCCCAUGUGACCCGCGGAGCGGAUGACUCAUGGUUGCCUGUCCCAGGAUGAGGCCGCCGGCCGAAAGCAGAGAAGCGCCAGCCCCGGCCGCCCGGGUGGAGCGCUGGGCAGCCGAGUUUCCCACCCUCCUCAAUCCGGAGAGUCCGCGCGGGGCUUUUCCUAAUAAAUAGCCAGGCACCCGCUGCCCUCGCGCUGCGUACGGGAGCACGUGCCCCCCGGGAGGUGGGCGCCCGCCAGGUGCCCCGGGAACGAGCCUAGGAACCGGGUCCGCCGAGUGCGGCUCUCGGGGCGGCUAGGCGUGCGGGUGGCUGGGCAGCGCUCCCAGGGACCGGCCUCUCUCCGGAGAAAGUAAGGAAUUCUGCUCCUGGGCAGGUAAUACCGGAAACAAAAGGAGAGGCUGCAAUCGCAAAUUGUUUAAAAAGAAGAAAAAGGAAAGAAAAGUUGAAUGUAAGAGCUCCAGCCCCUCAAUGUGAUCUUGUACGGUUUGCAGUAAGAACAUUUCAUUCUUCCGCAUUUUAUUUUUCCUUUUGCUACUGUUGGUGACAACUAGCAAAAUAAGUGAAAAAUCCUCGUUCAAGUGUUCUGGCAUUAAGAUUGACUGUCACACUGAAUUCUGUGCCAAUCCUAACAACAUGUGUUCUUUUUCUGGUCUUCACAAGUAAGAAUGUCUUAGGUUUUCCAGAAAUAAAGAUGUCCCAAAAGAAUGUUUUGUGUUACACACUCAUUCUUCAAGAAACUUUAAUUUUAUGAGCCUCAAAAAUUGCAAAAUUUUAACAACGGCGGGACAAUAUUUUAUCGAUUAGCAUUCUUAAUAGCACCUAUGUUGACGAUUUGUGUGGAGAAACGGAUUCUUAAAAGAAGUGCUGGUGGCAUUGUAAAUU